rnacentral:rRNA from 1 species
CCUACGGGAGGCAGCAGUGAGGAAUAUUGGUCAAUGGGCGCGAGCCUGAACCAGCCAAGUAGCGUGAAGGAUGACUGCCCUACGGGUUGUACACUUCUUUUAUAAAGGAAUAAAGUGAGUCACGUGUGCCUUUUUGUAUGUACUUUAUGAAUAAGGAUAGGCUAACUCCGUGCCAGCAGCCGCGGUAAUACGGAGGAUCCGAGCGUUAUCCGGAUUUAUUGGGUUUAAAGGGAGCGUAGAUGGGUUGUUCAGUAAGUUGUGAAAGUUUGCGGCUCAACCGUGAAAGUGCAGUUGAAACUGGCAGUCUUGAGUACAGGUGAGGUAGGCGGAAUUCGUGGUGUAGCGGUGAAAUGCUUAGAUAUCACGAAGAACUCCGAUUGCGAAGGCAGCUUACUAAACUGUCACUGACAUUGAUGCUCGAAAGUGUGGGUAUCAAACAGGAUUAGAUACCCCUGUAGUC